CCUACGGGUGGCAGCAGUGAGGAAUAUUCGUCAAUGGGCGCGAGCCUGAACCAGCCAAGUAGCGUGAAGGAUUACUGCCCUACGGGUUGUAAACUUCUUUUAUAAAGGAAUAAAGUGAGGCACGUGUGCCUUUUUGUAUGUACUUUAUGAAUAAGGAUCGGCUAACUCCGUGCCAGCCGCCGCGGUAAUACGUAGGAUCCGAGCGUUCUCCGGAUUUAUUGGGUUUAAAGGGAGCGUAGAUGGGUUGUUAAGUCAGUUGGGAAAGUUUGCGGCUCAACCGUAAAAUUGAAAUUGAUACUGGCAGUCUUGAGUACAGUUGAGGUAGGCGGAAUUCGUGGUGUAGCGGUGAAAUGCGUAGAUAUUACGAAGAACGCCGAUUGCGAAGGCAGCUUACUAAACUGCCACUGACAUUGAUGCUCGAAAGUGUGGGUAUCAAACAGGAUUAGAUACCCCUGUAGUC
rnacentral:rRNA from 1 species